UACGGAGGGUGCGAGCGUUGUCCGGAAUCACUGGGCGUAAAGGGCGCGUAGGCGGCCUGAUAAGUAGGGGUGAAAGUCCUGCGGCUUAACCGCAGGGCUGCCUUCUAAACUGUCAGGCUUGAGCACAGUAGAGGCAGGUGGAAUUCCCGGUGUAGCGGUGGAAUGCGUAGAGAUCGGGAAGAACAUCAGUGGCGAAGGCGGCCUGCUGGGCUGUUGCUGACGCUGAGGCGCGACAGGCGUGGGGAGCGAACAGG
rnacentral:rRNA from 1 species